rnacentral:rRNA from 1 species
CCUACGGGAGGCUGCAGUAGGGAAUAUUGCUCAAUGGGGGAAACCCUGAAGCAGCAACGCCGCGUGGAGGAUGAAGGUUUUAGGAUUGUAAACCCCUUUUGUGAGAGAAGAUAAUGACGGUAUCUCACGAAUAAGCACCGGCUAACUCCGUGCCAGCAGCCGCGGUAAUACGGAGGGUGCAAGCGUUACACGGAAUUACUGGGCGUAAAGGGUGCGUAGGCGGGCUGGUAAGUCAGAUGUGAAAUCCUGUAGCUUAACUACAGAACUGCAUUUGAAACUAGGAGUCUAGAGUGUGGGAGAGGUAGGUGGAAUUCUUGGUGUAGGGGUAAAAUCCGUAGAUAUCAAGAGGAAUACUGAUUGCGAAGGCGGCCUACUGGAACAUUACUGACGUUGAUGCACGAAAGCGUGGGGAGCAAACAGGAUUAGAUACCCGGGUAGUC